GGCGCUCCUUGCCCUAAACUAAAGCCCUAGAUUAGUGUGUUUUCAAUUUCUUCAGCAAGCAACAAUGAAGCUCGUCAGAUUUUUGAUGAAGCUGAACAACGAGACUGUCUCAAUUGAGCUCAAAAACGGCACCGUUGUUCAUGGAACCAUUACAGGUGUGGAUGUUAGCAUGAACACACAUCUGAAGGCUGUCAAAAUUACGCUAAAAGGAAAGAAUCCAGUGACGUUGGAUCACCUGAGUGUGAGGGGUAACAACAUCCGUUAUUACAUCCUCCCUGACAGCUUAAAUCUUGAGACGUUACUGGUGGAAGAAACACCUAGGGUGAAGCCAAAGAAGCCAACAGCUGGAAAGCCUAUGGGACGUGGUCGUGGGCGCGGUCGUGGGCGUGGACGUGGUCGAGGCCGCUAAAUGCAUUCCAGCUGGUCUAUUUUUUUGCAGUCUUGCCUAUGUAAACAUGUGUACGGAUUGAUAGAUUUGCUGUUAGUUUUUAUCCUGUAGAAAAAAGAUGGAUCUCAUGCAACAAAUUUAUUUUGGAUCUUUGAAGUCAGGAGCAUGUUAUCUCGUUGCAUCAUAUUGUCUACUAACAUUAAUUUCGUUUCCCGUUCAAUUUAGUCACCUUAUGCAUG
rnacentral:misc_RNA from 1 species